rnacentral:lncRNA from 1 species
AUUUGAGCCACUUUUUAGUCUGUUCUUUAUACUGGAAGCAGGGCAAUCUUCUCAAGCUGUGAAAAUGAUCAUGCUGCCACCUUGUGUAAACUCCUUUAGAGGAUACACUUCAUACUGUGUAGGCAAGGACCUGCCUGGUCUGGCACCCACCAACCUCUCCAACCACACCCUGCCCAUUAUGCUUCCCUGAGCUCUUUCUCCGCCAGAUACAGUGAGGACUUUCUUUAGGCUCUGUACUUGUCAUAUUACUUCUGCUAUGGGGCUUCUGCUCGUACUGCCCACUUGCCCCAAAUGUUCUUUCCUGGUUGACCUCUGUUCAUCUAUCAGAUCCUGGUUUAGUCAUAGGAAGUCUUCUUGACUUCCCUAACUAGGUUUUGUCUCUUUCAUCCCGAUCUUUGAAAGUGGAGACCAUACUCCCCCCUUCUUUCUAUGGCAUAGAUCCCCUUCAUUCUGUGUGAUGGAUGGAAAAAUAUCCCCCAACAUAUUCACAUUCAUAUUCAUAUUAACAUAUUGAGUUCUCUUGAGAUUUAAGAUGCAAUGGGAUUUGCCUUGCUGGGUUUUGGCUUGCUUGGGACCCAUCACCCCUUAAUUCUUUUAGAUUUUUCCCCAUUGGGAUGGGAAUGCCAAUGCUCUAUCUGUCCCACCGCUGCAUUUUGGAUGCGCACAACUUGUCUCAUUCCACAGGGUUACGUCUCAUGGGGAGUUCUGCCUUAGGAUGAAUUAUACCUCAAGACUCCUUCACAUCUGAUAUCACUGAUAUUUAGCUCAGAUUUUGGACUUCGGAAUGAUUUAAGAUUUGUAGGGUUUUUUGGAUGGAAGGACAGUAAUUUGUAAGUGAGAAGAACAUGAAUUUUGGGGUCAAGGGGCAGAAUGCUGGGGAUUGAGUUGUAUUUCCUCAAAAUGAAAAUGUCAAAACCCCCAUGUGAAUGCAUUUGGAGGUGGGGCCUUUGGGGAAGUGAUUAGUUUUAAAUGAGGUCAUGAGGGUGGGGCCCCAUGAUGGGAUUAGUGCCCUUAUAAGAAGAGGGCCAGAGGGCUUGCUCCCUCCCUCUCUGCCAUGUGAGGACACCAUGAGAAGGUGGCCAUCUGUAAGCCAGAAAAAGAACGCUCUCCAGGGAAUCAACUCUGCUGGCAGCUUGAUCUUGGACUCCUAGUCUCUGGAACUGUGAGAAAUAAAUGUUUGUUAUUUAAGCAGCGCAGACUAUGUAGUAUUUUGUUAAGGGAGCCUGAGAAGACUAAGACAGAGGGUGCCCCAUAAAUGGAGAAUUAAUGAAUAAGCAAGGCUAACAGGGAAGUGGCAGCCCAACAAGCCAAAGCUUCCUGUAGGAACCGUCCCUGAUCCCUAAUUCACAUAUCAUGAAAUAGCCUUUUCUCCUCUUCAUCCAUUAUGCAGGGCGUGAAUCUGUUUUACCACACCCCACAAAACACUUAGAGGCUCCUUUGAGGUCAGAGUAAACUGUUUCAUUUCACAGCCUGAAGCAUUUUGCUUCUUUAUCCUUCCUUACAUGGUGGGUGUGAGUUUACACCUGGAAAUAGGAUCCACCUCCAGGAGGUAUUGAAGGACAGGCCACAUGAGGUUUUGUCCUUGGGAGAACAAAUAUAUCGGGCAAAUCUCCAUUUAUUUUCUGCUAGUCUCCAUUAGGAAAAGCUGCAGGCAAGAAGGAUACUAUGUACUUCUUUCACUCCCACACAGUGCCUUUCUUUACUUAAAAUUCUUUAUUUCUUCCCAUCCAUUCAUUGCUAGGUUACAUUUUCCGGAACAAUAGGCUGCCAUUUAGCUUCUCUCUCUAAGCCUAACUGUGCCUCAACCCAAGGACUCACUGCCAUGAAGUAUUAUUGCACAGUUUGGAGAGGCACGUGGCUCUCCCAAAUGGACUUUCAUUUGCACUGAUCAACAGCAACAACAAAAGCCUUGUGUCAGAGAUACAAGGCAACCUCUUUGUCUGAAACCACCCCCUCCUCUUUUGUUUUCUUCCAGAGCUCACUGAGCAUUAUUUUCCACAUGCUCUUCUCCGUGCCUCUGCAGAUGUGAAACUUUAAAUGCAGGGUAUUUAAAAAUAAUAAGGAAAAAAAAAAAAAAACACCCUGAAAAUUACAGAGCUUUGUAGUCAAGCGGCAUGCGGCUCCCUAAAGAGCUCCAUAUAUCAAGUUCAGAUGGUUUAUGGAUUGUUGAUUUGAGCUACCUGGAUGACAGAAGGAAGGGGGUCGUAGGGGAGAGGACGUUAAAUAUCAACACUGGAAAGUACCUGAAAACCAGCUCUCCUGGACCCCAUUCCUAUUCUGCAGAAAUGCAUUAAAUAGGUUUGUGGGAGGCCAGGAAUCUCCACAGCUUGAGGAUCUUGCUGUCAACGAAGGGCCUUGUGGACAUGCCCUAGAUGGGGCCAUGGAAGAGGAAUCAUUUUCCAGUUCCUACUAUGUUUCAGGGACUAAAUAUUAGUACCUAUGCUUGUCUUAGUCAGUUCUCAUCCAAAUGUUGUAAAAUGGUGAAACUGACAUUUACCUCUCCAGUGGAAGUUGGGGGCAUCACCCUGCACCCCACCUUCAGGACCAAGGCACUCUAUACCCCCAGCUGCCAAGCUGAAGGUUCACAUGAAUGACCUUCAAUGGCCAGGAGCCUCCUUGCACAAGGAUUUGCCCCCUUCCCUUCCCUGGGGGCAUUCCUUUCCUGGAGGCAUCUGGUCACCCAGCCCUCUGACCUCAAUUUGGGGCAACUCUAAAGGGCCAUCCUAGUUCCAGAGCUCUCUGUGGGAUCAUCUGAGGCCUCUGUUAUGACUCUAUUGUGGUUCAACUUCUCCCACUGUCCGAUGCCACUUCCUUGACUUCUUUCCUGAGUUUGUUCUGAGAAUUUGCCGACCCCCCUGCCCCCCCACCAGUAAAUUGGCUGCAUGCAGACAGCCACCUCAGGGAUUGCUGCCCAGGGAACCUACCUGUUGUGAGUUGUGUCCCUCUAAAAUUCAUAUGUUGAAGUCCUUACCCCUAGAAUGUGACUAUAUUUGGAGAUAAGGUCUUUAAGAGUGAUCAAGUUAACAGGAAGUCUUUAGGAUGGACCAUAACCAAAAAUGACUGGUGUCAUUAUUUCCUCUUCCUUAUAGGAGAUGGAAAGUUGGACACACAGAGAGAGACACCAGACACUUGUAAACAUGAUGAUAGAAAGGAGGAACCCAAGGAGAGAGGCCUCUGAAGGGACUCACCCUGCUCACACCUGUCUCCAGAACUGAGUGAAACUACAUCUUUUGAAGCUUAACCACUCGGUCUGUGAUAUUUUGUCAUGGCAACACUAGUAAAUUAAUUCAGCACCUAAGACACCUUCUCUAGUUCCUCCAUCUGUCCAUUUACGAAUGAGAAUCUGAGAGUUGGAGAGAUUCAAUAACCACCUAAGGUCACUGAGCUAGAAAGUGAGGCUAGUAAGGUCCUGAGCCUAAGACCACAUCCUUCUGCUACUGGAGAUGAAAUCUGAACUUCCUAUUGCCAUCUGAUUAUCCUUCUGUAACCACUAUUAACCCUCACUACAGACACUAAGAACUAAAUUACACUGAGUAGCAUUUAACCCCUGCCCAGAAGGAAGGUUCCUUGUAACUGGGGUUGAUCAAGAGGAACAAACCACAGAUUGCUAUUUAUUUGCUUUACUAAUCAUUUAAAAAAGCAUGUUCCCCGAACCCUAAGCACACUUAAAAGAUUCAAGGUGAUAUUCAACUUGAAAAAUAAUUAUGGGAAGUAAAAUGGAUACUUAUUUAUGAAAACCAUAAUAACUUUAAACCAAUAUCAGAAGAGAUUAAGAAAACCGUGAUGAAUUUUCUCAGAAAUGAGAAAUCAUGAUCUACUCUUAGCCAAGGGAACAUUAUUGAUCCACUGAGGAAAUAAAAAAAGCUACUUAUAUUUCGGGGCGCCUGGGUAGUCAGGUGGUUAAGCUCCAGCUCUUGAUUUUGCUUCAGGUCAUGAUCUCAGGGUCAUGGGAUCAAGCCCCGCAUUGGGCUCCACUUGUCCCUCUCCCUCUGCUCUUCUGUCUCUCUCUCUCGUAAAUACAUUGGGAAAUCUAAAAAUAAAAACUCCUACUUAUUUUUAAUUUUGCAAAACACUGUGAUCCUCAUAAUCAUAAAAUAUGUUCAGUUCAAGCUUUCAGUGUUUGAACAUGUCUGACAUACCAAAUUAUUUGUACCAUUAGGAUAUUUACUAGAAUAUAUAUUCAUAAUUAAAACUAAAACCUUAUUAGAAUGGCUUGAAGGCUUGUCUCUCCAAUUCUCUCUACUCCUUGUACUCAGAAAGAAAGGCUGGUGGUUAUCCUAGUGUUCAGGGAGUAUGAGGCUGAAACCUGGGGCUGAGACUGUGACAAAUCCCCUUCUGGAGGAAACAACGACCAGCACAUGCAUGCUUGCAGGGGUAAUUAUAAAUAGGGGGGUUGACAGUGAAGGAUUUCAGAUUGUAUGUUAGGCUGGGAGGGACCUUAGAGACACUCUAGUCCACUAAUAGAUGAGGGAACGAGCCCAGAAAGAUGAAAUGAUGUGUCCGCAGUCACACACUCAUUAGUGUGGGAGCCAGGCCUGGAACCAAUGGCCCCCGGCUGCUUAUCUGGGGAUGUCUCCUCUGUGAUUACUGUCUUUUCUUUCCAUACAAACUGAACUUAAAAAUGUAACCAAAUUAAAUGAAAACCAAAAAUAAUCUUUAGAACAGAUUUUUUUUGUGUGUGUGAACAGUGCUCAUCUCUGUGUGUUAUAAAUGGGAUUAGUUUAUGCACUACACUUGCAUUCUAUGUCAUAUCAUAUAAUAUUAGCGCUUUGAGGGCAGGAUGAUGGAUGUUUUAUACAGAUCAAAACUUGCUCAACAACGAAGACUAGGGAACAAAGGCCCCAAGAUUUUCACCUGUCUGAUGAGUUAGGUUCCCCAAAAAAUGGACAUUCAAAGAACUUAUUGCUGAGGUGGCAAAAAAAUCAUCAUUGCACUAAGGCUACUUGCACUCUUUGCUGUCCUAAGAACAAAGCAGUACUAUGUCGUGGGAGAGGGGACCAGCAGUGGUGAGAUAUUCAUGAGACUGAGCAGCUCACAUGGGUCUAUGAGUGACUCCUGGUGACAUAAGAGGCAAAGGCUCUAGACACUUGAAGAAUAGAUCACAUAUUGAACAGAAUCUGAAAUAUAAGGCAUAUGCAUAUUAGGAAUAAUAUAAGGCAGAAACAGGCAUGAUAUAAGGCCUGUUUCUGUGCUUUGCUCUUGAAUAUCCUGUGGUAUUCACGAGGCAAGCUGACAUUUAUCUCUUAUUAGCUGUUUUGCUAGAAAAAUAAGUGGGUAUAAAAUCUCCUGCUGUCCAAAACAUAUUUCCAACAAUUGUAUAAUCAAUUGAGGUGAUUACUGGGUGGUGUGGUUACCCGGUCUACAGGCUGGCUGGCCAGAUAGGCUCAGGUGGGGCUGCAGUUUUGGUAAAACAAGGACAAGGGGGCGAUGGAAAUUUGUUGACAGGCAAGUAUUUGGGCAAGGGGCAGGAUUGAAAACACUGACCUCUCCAAGAUUCCUCCUCCCUGCCCACAUACAGACAAAAUCAUUUUAAUUCAUAGGUGCUUCCUUGAAAAUCAAGUUUCAAGGAACCGUUAAGGAAAACAAAAUGUCUACAAAGUACUUGCC